UUCGCCCUUAGAGUUUGAUCCUGGCUCAGGAUAAACGCUGGCGGCGCACAUAAGACAUGCAAGUCGAACGAACUUAACCCUUUGUUUACAUUGGGAGCGGUUAGUGGCGGACUGGUGAGUAACACGUAAGCAACCUGCCUAUUAGAGGGGAAUAACAGUGAGAAAUCAUUGCUAAUACCGCAUAUGCUCACAGUAUCACAUGAUACAGUGAGGAAAGGAGCAAUCCGCUAAUAGAUGGGCUUGUGUCUGAUUAGCUAGUUGGUGGGGUAACGGCCUACCAAGGCGACGAUCAGUAGCCGGACUGAGAGGUUGAACGGCCACAUUGGGACUGAGAUACGGCCCAGACUCCUACGGGAGGCAGCAGUCGGGAAUAUUGCGCAAUGGAGGAAACUCUGACGCAGUGACGCCGCGUAUAGGAAGAAGGUUUUCGGAUUGUAAACUAUUGUCGUUAGGGAAGAUAAAAGACAGUACCUAAGGAGGAAGCUCCGGCUAACUAUGUGCCAGCAGCCGCGGUAAUACAUAGGGAGCAAGCGUUAUCCGGAAUUAUUGGGUGUAAAGGGUGCGUAGACGGAGGAACAAGUUAGUUGUGAAAUCCCUCGGCUUAACUGAGGAACUGCAACUAAAACUAUUCCCCUUGAGUGUCGGAGAGGAAAGUGGAAUUCCUAGUGUAGCGGUGAAAUGCGUAGAUAUUAGGAGGAACACCAGUGGCGAAGGCGACUUUCUGGACGAUAACUGACGUUGAGGUACGAAAGUGUGGGGAGCAAGCAGGAUUAGAUACCCUGGUAGUCCACACCGUAAACGAUGGAUACUAGGUGUAGGGUGUAUUAAGCACUCUGUGCCGCCGCAAACGCAUUAAGUAUCCCACCUGGGGAGUACGACCGCAAGGUUGAAACUCAAAGGAAUUGACGGGGGCCCGCACAAGCAGUGGAGUAUGUGGUUUAAUUCGAAGCAACGCGAAGAACCUUACCAGGGCUUGACAUAUACCGGAAUAUACUAGAGAUAGUAUAGUCCUUCGGGACUGGUAUACAGGUGGUGCAUGGUUGUCGUCAGCUCGUGUCGUGAGAUGUUGGGUUAAGUCCCGCAACGAGCGCAACCCCUAUCGUUAGUUGCUAGCAGGUAAAGCUGAGAACUCUAGCGAGACUGCCGGUGAUAAAUCGGAGGAAGGUGGGGAUGACAUCAAAUCAUCAUGCCCUUUAUGUCCUGGGCUACACACGUACUACAAUGGCCGCAACAGAGGGAAGCGAAAUAGUGAUAUGGAGCAAAACCCGAAAAACGGUCUCAGUUCGGAUUGUAGUCUGCAACCCGACUACAUGAAGCUGGAAUCGCUAGUAAUCGCGGAUCAGAAUGCCGCGGUGAAUACGUUCCCGGGUCUUGCACUCACCGCCCGUCA
rnacentral:rRNA from 1 species